rnacentral:snRNA from 1 species
GUGCUCGCUUCAGCAGCACAUAUACUAAAAUUGGAACCAUACAGAGAAGAUUAGCAUGGCCCCUGCCCAAGGAUGACAUGCAAAUUCGUGAAGCAUUCCAUAUUUUU